rnacentral:tRNA from 1 species
GAAUCAGAAGCGAUCUAUCGCAGUCAGUUUCGACCUGGCCUUAGGUAAUCAUUACCCUUAUUCU